GAUGAACGCUGGCGGCGUGCCUAAUACAUGCAAGUCGAGCGAACGGACGAGAAGCUUGCUUUUCUGAUGUUAGCGGCGGACGGGUGAGUAACACGUGGAUAACCUACCUAUAAGACUGGGAUAACUUCGGGAAACCGGAGCUAAUACCGGAUAAUAUUUUGAACCGCAUGGUUCAAAAGUGAAAGACGGUCUUGCUGUCACUUAUAGAUGGAUCCGCGCUGCAUUGGCUAGUUGGUAAGGUAACGGCUUACCAAGGCAACGAUGCAUAGCCGACCUGAGAGGGUGAUCGGCCACACUGGAACUGAGACACGGUCCAGACUCCUACGGGAGGCAGCAGUAGGGAAUCUUCCGCAAUGGGCGAAAGCCUGACGGAGCAACGCCGCGUGAGUGAUGAAGGUCUUCGGAUCGUAAAACUCUGUUAUUAGGGAAGAACAUAUGUGUAAGUAACUGUGCACAUCUUGACGGUACCUAAUCAGAAAGCCACGGCUAACUACG
rnacentral:rRNA from 1 species